ensembl:lncRNA
GAAUACUGGAGUGGGCUGCCAUUUCCUUCUCCAGGGGAUCUUCCCAACCCAGGGAUUGAAUCCAGGUCUCCUGCAUUGCAGACAGACGCUUAACCGUCUGAGCCACUAGGGAAGCACGGGACAUGUCAGAAUUAUGGCACACCUGUUUUCCCUAGUGUGAAAGCCUCUCUGCUGCUGCUGCUGCUAAGUCACUUCAGUCAUGUCCGACUCUGUGCGACCCCAUAGACGGCAGCCCACCAGGCUCCUCCAUCCGUAGGAUUUUCCAGGCAAGAGUACUGGAGUGGGGUGCCAUUGCCUUCUCUGGAAAGCCUCUCUGAGUGAUCACCAAAGCCUAUUACUAGCUCUGAUGUAUUUAACUUCUCUAAAAAAAAAAAAAAAAAAAAA